UUGCAUAGUUUCUUAGCCUAACGGCUAUUUGGCUGGUGGUUUUUUUAACCACCAGCCU
rnacentral:sRNA from 1 species